AGAGUUUGAUCCUGGCUCAGAAUGAACGCUGGCGGCGUGGCUAAGACAUGCAAGUCGUACGAAUGCUUUGAUUGAGUAAUCGAGAUAAGCGUUAGUGGCGGAUGGAUGAGUAAUGCAUAGAUAACAUACCUUAAGCUCCGGGAUAACUACGGGAAACUGUAGGUAAUACCGGAUAAUGUCCUAGAAUCGAAUGGUUUCUGGACCAAAGGGCUUCGGUACUGGCUUUUGAGUGGUCUAUGUCGUAUCAGUUUGUUGGUGAGGUAAUGGCUCACCAAGACUUCGACGCGUAGCGGGACUGAGAGGUUGACCCGCCAUAUCGGGACUGAGACACUGCCCGGACCUCCACGGAGGGCUGCAGUAACGAAUCUUGCGCAAUGGACGAAAGUCUGACGCAGCAACGCCGCGUGUAGGACGAAGCCCCUCGGGGUGUAAACUACUGUCAGGGUGAAGAAAGGUGAGGGUUGUAAUACCCGAUCUUGAUCGAUCCCAAAGGAAGGUCCGGCUAACUUCGUGCCAGCAGCCGCGGUAAUACGAAGGGACCAAGCGUUAUUCGGAAUCAUUGGGCUUAAAGCGCACGUAGGCGGAUAGAUCAGUGUCUUGUGAAAUCCCCCGGCUUAACCGGGGAACUGCAGGGCAUACUGUCUAUCUUGAGGCAAGUAGGGGUACAUGGAACUCUGGGUGGAGCGGUGAAAUGCGUAGAUAUCCAGAGGAACGCCAGCGGAGAAAUCGGUGUACUGGGCUUGUUCUGACGCUGAGGUGCGAAAGCGUGGGUAGCGAACGGGAUUAGAUAACCCGGUAGUCCACGCUGUAAACGAUGCCUACUAGAUUGUGGGAGUUCUGACGCUCUCGCGGUCGAAGCAAAAGUGUUAAGUAGGCCGCCUGGGGAGUACGGUCGCAAGGCUAAAACUCAAAGGAAUUGACGGGGGCUCACACAAGCAGUGGAGCAUGUGGCUUAAUUCGAAACAACGCGAAGAACCUUAUCCUGGGUUUGACUAUUACGGAUGCCCUUCCUGAAAGGGGAGUAAGCUGCCUUCGGGUGAAACGUAACCAGGUGCUGCAUGGCUGUCGUCAGCUCGUGUCGUGAGAUGUCGGGUUAAGUCCCUUAACGAGCGAAACCCUUAUCGUUAGUUGCCAGCGAGUAAUGUCGGGGACUCUAGCGAGACUGCCGGUGUUAAACCGGAGGAAGGCGGGGAUGACGUCAAGUCCUCAUGGCCUUUAUGCCCAGGGCUGCACACGUGCUACAAUGGCAUGGACAGACCGAUGCGAUACCGCGAGGUGGAGCAAAUCGGAAAAACCAUGCCUCAGUUCGGAUUGAAGGCUGCAACUCGCCUUCAUGAAGUUGGAAUUGCUAGUAAUCGCAGAUCAGCUAUGCUGC
rnacentral:rRNA from 1 species